rnacentral:miRNA from 10 species
UGGUAACUCCACCACCGUUGGC